rnacentral:rRNA from 1 species
GAGUUUGAUCCUGGCUCAGGAUGAACGCUAGCGGCAGGCCUAACACAUGCAAGUCGAGGGGUAGAGGGGUGCUUGCACCCCUUGAGACCGGCGCACGGGUGCGUAACGCGUAUGCAACCUACCUAUUGCAGGGGAAUAGCCCAGGGAAACUUGGAUUAAUGCCCCAUAGUCCAUAUUGAGAGCAUUCGAUAUAUGGUAAAGAUUUAUCGGCAAUAGAUGGGCAUGCGUCCCAUUAGCUAGUUGGUAUGGUAACGGCAUACCAAGGCUACGAUGGGUAGGGGCCCUGAGAGGGGGAUCCCCCACACUGGUACUGAGACACGGACCAGACUCCUACGGGAGGCAACAGUGAGGAAUAUUGGACAAUGGGCGGGAGCCUGAUCCAGCCAUGCCGCGUGCAGGAAGACUGCCCUAUGGGUUGUAAACUGCUUUUUUACGGGAAGAAACACCCCCACGUGUGGGGGCUUGACGGUACCGUACGAAUAAGGACCGGCUAACUCCGUGCCAGCAGCCGCGGUAAUACGGAGGGUCCGAGCGUUAUCCGGAAUCAUUGGGUUUAAAGGGUCCGUAGGCGGGCGUCUAAGUCAGUGGUGAAAUCCCGCAGCUCAACUGUGGAAUUGCCAUUGAUACUGGUCGCCUUGAAUUAGUGUGAAGUGGCUAGAAUAUGUAGUGUAGCGGUGAAAUGCUUAGAUAUUACAUAGAAUACCGAUUGCGAAGGCAGGUCACUAACACUAUAUUGACGCUGAUGGACGAAAGCGUGGGGAGCGAACAGGAUUAGAUACCCUGGUAGUCCACGCCGUAAACGAUGGAUACUAGCUGUCCGGCCUGCAUUGGUAGGCUGGGUGGCCAAGCGAAAGGGAUAAGUAUCCCACCUGGGGAGUACGUUCGCAAGAAUGAAACUCAAAGGAAUUGACGGGGGCCCGCACAAGCGGUGGAGCAUGUGGUUUAAUUCGAUGAUACGCGAGGAACCUUACCAGGGCUUAAAUGUAGUCUGACAGGGGUGGAAACACCCCCGUCUUCGGACAGACUGCAAGGUGCUGCAUGGUUGUCGUCAGCUCGUGCCGUGAGGUGUCAGGUUAAGUCCUAUAACGAGCGCAACCCCUGUCGUUAGUUGCCAGCAUGUAAAGAUGGGAACUCUAACGAGACUGCCGGUGCAAACCGUGAGGAAGGUGGGGAUGACGUCAAAUCAUCACGGCCCUUACGUCCUGGGCCACACACGUGCUACAAUGGCAGGUACAAUGGGCAGCCACGCCGCAAGGCGGAGCGAAUCCACAAAGCCUGUCUCAGUUCGGAUCGGGGUCUGCGACUCGACCCCGUGAAGCUGGAAUCGCUAGUAAUCGGAUAUCAGCCAUGAUCCGGUGAAUACGUUCCCGGGCCUUGUACACACCGCCCGUCAGGCCAUGGAAGCUGGAAGCACCUGAAGUCCGUCACCGCGAGGAGCGGCCUAGGGUGAAGCUGGUAACUGGGGCUAAGUCGUAACAAGGUAGCCGU